rnacentral:rRNA from 1 species
CUUCCGUAGGGGGACCUGCGGAGGGAUCAUUACACAAAUAUGAAGGCGGGCUGGAACCUCUCGGGGUUACAGCCUUGCUGAAUUAUUCACCCUUGUCUUUUGCGUACUUCUUGUUUCCUUGGUGGGUUCGCCCACCACUAGGACAAACAUAAACCUUUUGUAAUUGCAAUCAGCGUCAGUAACAAAUUAAUAAUUACAACUUUCAACAACGGAUCUCUUGGUUCUGGCAUCGAUGAAGAACGCAGCGAAAUGCGAUAAGUAGUGUGAAUUGCAGAAUUCAGUGAAUCAUCGAAUCUUUGAACGCACAUUGCGCCCUUUGGUAUUCCAAAGGGCAUGCCUGUUCGAGCGUCAUUUGUACCCUCAAGCUUUGCUUGGUGUUGGGCGUCUUGUCUCUAGCUUUGCUGGAGACUCGCCUUAAAGUAAUUGGCAGCCGGCCUACUGGUUUCGGAGCGCAGCACAAGUCGCACUCUCUAUCAGCAAAGGUCUAGCAUCCAUUAAGCCUUUUUUUCAACUUUGACCUCGGAUCAGGUAGUCCCCAUU